rnacentral:lncRNA from 1 species
GACGUUAAAUUUUAAAUGCAUCAAAUCUUGAUACAAAAUUACAUAUAAACUGAUUAUGUAAAAAAGUUCAAAUUAAUCAAUUUUAUGUCAAAAGUUAUAUUUUUUAUUAUGAAACUUGUUUUGGUAAAUUUAUUAAAAGUAAAGCAAGUAAAUUUAUUGUAUCUUAAAAAAAACAGCCUAUAUAUUUGGAAAUCAACAAAUCAACAACAAACAUUUAUUUGUUGAAGAAUCUAAUUCAAUCGAGUUUUCUAAUUUUACAGUUGUGAUUAUGGUAAUACUAUUAGCAACAUACUUUGAGAUUUAUUUUAGGGAUAUUUACCCAAGUUGAUGACCAAAAUAAGCUCUGGAUACCGGAGAUUGAAAAAUAAAUUCGACCUACUUUUAAAAACACUCUUUGAUAUUUGGAUUUGAAUUUUGCACAAAAAAUAAUCAUGCUUUAAAACUUUUUUUUUAAUUUAUUAGUUUACAUAGAUUUGGUUUAGUAUUUAAUGAUUUGCUUAAUAUUUUACUAUUUUUAUGAAUUGGUUUAAUUAGAGUUACUUUUCUUUCAUUUUUGGUUACUUUUUAAAUUGAUUUGUACUUCGAUGAUAAUUUACCACAUAAAUUUAUCAAAAAUACAAUAGGCAAAUAAAGAGUAAAUUACUGAAAUCGUCCCCUAUGGUUUGGUGAAAAUUUCACGUUUGGUCCCUAACUUUUCUUUUGCACUCGGAUCGUCCCUAUGGUUUGAUUUUGUUGCGUUUUUCGUCUCUUGCAUACAUAAAAUUAGAGACCAAAUGUGAAAUUUUGACCAAACCAUAGGGACAAUUUUAGUAACUUACUCUAAAUUAAAAUAUGAUGUUGGAAUUAAAAAAAAAAAAAAAAAAGAAGUCAAUGCAAAUAAGAUACAAUUUCACACACCUUUGCAUUUCCUCCUAAAACGAGGAGAAAACAAUUGCAUUCUUUGCUUAUACCUAAAGAGAUUACCCCUAAAGAAAUUGUCCCUAUAAAUAGUCAUUAUUAAUUACAAAAACGGUCCCUAUAAAAAAAAAUAAUCUUUGAUCUAACUAGGACAAUAAAAACAUAAAUGGUCCCUAUAAAUGUUUUUCAAUAUUUGGUCUAACGGGGACAAAACAUAAAUCCAAGAAAAAAUUAUAGUAAACUAGUGUAAAAUAGUAAAAGUAUUUAUUUGUUUCCAGAAAAUAGUCCCAUGAGCUUCAUUGUACAAAAAAAAUUUUAAUUUUCGAUAUCAUCUUAAAAUAACAAAAAAAAAAUGUAAUUUUUAAAAGUACGAUGCUAUUAAUGAAUUUUUAAAAAUAAUCCGAAAAAAAUAAAGCUUUCAAUGCACAACACAACACAAACACCAAACAUACAUUAUGCAAUAAUUUUGUUUUGAAAACACAUCACAAUAGACAACACACACUUAACAUACAUCAUGCAUAAACAAUAAAAACACAGGGAAUGAUUAAUCAAAAAAGUAUGAAAACUAACCUGACAUUCUGUUCUUUGUUGUAGAGACAAACGUAUUUUGGAGCUGUAUACAAAAUACAAAGUUAAUGAAAACAUAUUUAUAAGAGAUUAAGAUUUUAUGGAUACAUCGAUUCCACUUUUAAGAUUUUAGGAAAAUAACAAAAAACGAAUGGUAGUAACCAGAAAUUAAACCGAAAUCAACUUGUUUGAUUUCACAAUCAAAGAUUGUGAUUAAAAUUCACAAUAUUGUGAUUAAAAAUUUAAAAACAAUAUCGAGAUAAUCCAAUAAAAGUCAAGAUGAAAUCAAAUCGUAAUAAUCUUUUACAAAAUCCAAAAAGUGAAUUUACAUAGAUGUGAUAUGUUAAACAAAAUUUGAAACCCUAGAGCAUGCUAAAAUCAUUAGAACAUCUCAAAACGAGGAAUCAAACUAAUAAACGAAGAAAAAAAAAAACUCAGGAAUAUCACAAAAAGUUAAAAAUAAGAUAAGUGAUUUCACAUACUUUGAAGUGUGUAUUUAUCGGAGGCUCAGAUCUGUUUUACGAUCGGAACAAGAGGAUUAAACCGCCAUGGCUGCAAAUACAGAGGUUGCAUUCUCACAAUCGCCGUCCUCCGAUUAUAUGCCCUGCCAAGCUGCGGAUAAUCUCAAAUCAUGUCCCGAUUUGACUCAGAUCACUUUUAAUCAUCAUAGCCUCUGGGUUUAGGGGUGUUUGGAUGGGGAAUUGCAUGUCAUAACUUCAACGAUCUUUCUCUGUCUCUCUCUAUAUAUACAUACACAUACAUACAUACGAAUAUAUAUAAAUAUAUACAUAUAUAUAUCAGAGGGUUGUUGGAGUUUGAAAGAAAACAAUGGAAAUCAUCGGCAUGGAGAGGCGGCAACCACCCUCAGAAACCCUUGUUCCUCUCACUGCCUCAUUCUCAUACUCUGAGUCGUAAAACAAAUAUCCCUAAUCGUCAGCCGGUUACUCUAUAUUUAUACUAUAUGCCUCCGCUUUGAUUUUCCAAUUGGAUCUUCACUUUUCAAAUUUACAAAAUUAGUCCAUUUUGUUAAUCUAAUUUUAGUUUAGAUCAAUGUUUUAAAACCCGGGUUUUCAGUUGAUCCGGUGUGAUUAUCGGUUUACGGUUCAAUCGGUUGAAUCGUUGGGUCAACCCGAUUUAUGGUCUUUUUCUAUUGUCAUAUAUUUUACUUUCUAGCAUAAUAUAUAGACAUAUAAAACAAAUAAUUUGAUGUCCAUAAAGUUUAAACAUUGAAAAACAUAUCAAAACAUGGUAUAGAUCAAUCUAAACACAAUCAAUAACCCAACAAGAACAUGACUCAUUGAGACCCAAUAACUAUUUUAAUCCAUUAAAACCCAACAUGAACAUACAUGAACUCAAAAACUCCACAAAGCUUACACAUUUAUGAAUGAGGGACCUUAGAAAUGUCCAGAUCUACUAGAUUGAGCUCCCAAAACAGCCCUAGCUCACCAAGACCAAGCAAAAGGGACUAAAUGGCCAAAAACCUACUCAAAGUAGAUCUAUGAAAUAAGAAGACAAGAUCAAAGCUUUUUACCUCCAAUAAACUGCAAAAUAUGGAAAACCUCUGGAUCUACAAGCUCCCUUCCAGGUAGUGACUCUUCAACAAGCUCCAAGUUCUUCAAUGUAAACAAAUAUGCUCAAAGAUCCUUCACAAUGACUUAAAUGCUCCAAGUUCUUCAAUGUAAACAAAUAUGCUCAAAGAUCCUUCACAAUGACUUAAAUGCUCAAAAAUAUGGCUAAAGGUCGUCUUUUAGGGUUUAGGAUGAUGAGGGAUGGAUACAAGAUGAGGCUCAUGAAAGAAAUGGGGUUUAAAUAGGGUCGAGGGUCCUAAUUUAGGGUUUCAUGACUAAAGGGAGUACGCCCCACGUACCCCUUGGUACACUGAGAGUACCCAAAGACCACAUGCAACAACUUUUCUUUAUACGCUGGGCGUACCCCAGAUUAUGUUGGGCAUACCCAGCUAAGCAUGCGCAUGCAUCCUUGCAUGCAGGGGACUGAUCUGCCAAAUAUUUCCUCUAGGGGCCAAAUCUGCCAAAAUCUUCAAACUACCGUAACUCCCUCAUCCUAAGUUCGUUUCCAACGAACCUUAUAUCCACAAAAAGGAGGCGAGAAUCCCUACGCUCCUAACAACACACCCAAACCUUAAAACCUCCCGAACAAAACCCAAACUUCAUAAAAGACCGAGAUAUCAAAUUACAGUCAUGCCCUUGGCUUCCGAAGACACAAUCGAAUACAUGGAUCACUUAUACCUUCACAACUACAUCCGAAAUGGGGCAAAUCUUUCCUUUCUCGAAGCCCUAAGCCCCAUGAAAGCUGAUGAUUGGGCCGUAACCCCAAGCAAUGAGGCAAAUCUGAAACCAAAUGUUACAACUCUCCACCACUUAAAUUAGAUUUCGUCCUCAACAUCACUCCUUACUAAUACCCAUAACAAAACAACCAUUAUGAGGAACACAACCGAGAAAUUAUGCGCAUAAGAUAACCUUCCCAAGACAACCGAAAUUUCCAUCCCGAAGAAAACAAACCCUAAGUCCCUGAAGGAACCCACUUCUACCUCUCUGAAACGUAAAUUCCGCAUUGGUCUGACUUCCUGACAGAACGCCCACGCUAUAACAUUACCAAACCCAACCUUUAUCGAAUAACAGACCAACAUACCCGUCUAACCCUGAUCAUCUUGAUGCUACAAAUAGAACAAAACCACUGACCAUGAACAACUGCAGAACAGUUAUACUUGACAGAAGGCUUAGAUAAUGCUCCGAGUAGAAUAUUCAUCCUUGCAACGGUUAGACUCAAAUGAGAGUUGCACAACAAGGUCAAAUUAAUUACUUUGAUAUUAUUUAAUCCAACUGCAAGUGACUUAGAACUUUUGACCCACAAGCUACUCCAUGCACACGAAUCCUCAAAUCAAUACUUUUGCCUAAAACAUCAUGCUGCCUCUUAUCUACUUUCCAAAUUGACUAAGACCUCCGUGAUCCCAACUUAUCUUCCAACUAUUAUAAAUAUCGGGUUUGCGACCGGUUGUUGAGCCAAGGAACACCCUCAUAGUCGCCUCACGCGACUUUCGAAAGAAACUUCAACAGGCAAAGCUACCUAAACCACCUCAACACCAACCCGGUGCUAUGUUGAACACCACAGGACCAACCAUGGUCUUGCUGAUGGGUUUUGGCCAUAAGAACAUCCUAUGUGCUCAUACAAACCCUAAUGCUUGGAUCUAGGUUUCUCUAUUGUACAUGCAAGUUAUCCAAGACUAUAAACCCUAAUUCUAGCAUACAAGUAAUCAUAUUAACAUAAGAAUGGGUUUAAGAUAUUACCUUGAUUGUUAUGUAGCAAUAACAAUCCCAAAUCCUUCUUGUAUUGACUUUAGAAAGCUUAGAGUCACAAAUGUCACUCCUCUAAUGGUUCACAAACACCAAGAGCAAGAGGAUGAGGAGGAGAGAGGAUGGAGGCUGCCCAAAACUGUCUACAAAACCCCAGAGAAGUCUUUUUUUUUCACGUUUUUGGGUCACCAGGGAUGUAUAUAUAGUUAGGCUAUUAGGGUUAUCUAACAAGGAAACCCUAAUUUGGAUGUUUAAGCCCUAAGCAACCCAUGGAUCCCUUUCCUUAAGGCCUUGGACGAUUUCCUUAUGGGUUUCCCCAUAGAAUUCGUCCACUCCUUAAUAUAAGGCAAUCCAUGGCCCAAAUUGCAAUUAUCUUAUAAUUACAAUUCCAGUCCCUUAAGUUUAAUUAAUCUCUUUUAGUCACAAACUUAAUUCUUAUUAAUUCUUGACUAAUAUUAAUUAAACAAUAUGAUUUCUCCUUUAAUAUAUUAUUCUCAUAAUAUAUUAAUAAAUCAUAUUUAAUCCUUUCUCUCCAUAAUUCAUCCUAUCAAGUUGCUUUGGUGAAGGCAACCCAAAAGGACCAUGCACCAUCGGGUCAAGUACAUACCAAAAUAGUUAUGGACUUAGACACUAAUCCAACAGUCUCCCACUUGGAUAAGUCUAAUAACUAUUAUGCGUAUGACUUCAGAUCCUGAUCUGCAAUCGUAGCUUUCCAAAGCCGCUGUCAACUCUGAUCCUAUCAGAUACGCGUGUCCUUAGAUAAGGGAUCAUAUAUUCCUCCAUUCUAGAUAUCAUAUGAGAUAUGAUUUCAAAUCAUUCUCUUUGUACUAUAUCUCGAUUUCCGAUUUAUGACGACUGACUAAUUGAACAAAUCAAAUUAGCCCUAGCCCGGCCGAGCAUUUACGUUUGUCAUCACUAAAUCAUCGAGGGGCCCAAAGAUAUCGCUUUUAUCCUACUUUGGAUAAAAGGAACGGAUAAACUUUGAUACAAUGCUUGCUUGCACUCACUCACCGAAUCACACACAACAAUAUGUUUUAUAACACCAAGUUACUAGUGCGUUUACAUAUUAUCAAUGUGCAACCGAUUUGCAAGAUACAACUCACACAUCUCGGUUUCAAGAAUAUAAGAUGUUAUCGUCUCACCAAUCACUCGUGAUACAAUUCAUGGAGUGAUCCAAGUGAGCGUGGGUUUAAUCCAAUGCUCAAAUCAUAUUCAUAAGCACUCAUGAACGUUGCAGCAAACAUUUGCUUAUGUCUAAUACUCUUUAGACAAUCCACACACCAAUUCACGACAGUCUUCAUUCAUACCUACUUCCAACAUAUGAACGACUGUGGCCCGUUCGAAUAAUUUGACUGUUCUUAACCAAUUAAAUUAUUCAGGAAGUCAAAACAUGCAAAGUGAAACACAAGAAUAAUACUAAUCCCAUAUGGCCUCAAACCUUUGAGUAUAAAUAAAACACCUUUUAUUUAUCACCAUAUCGAUUACUCAUUAUUUGUUGUUUCGGGUAAUCAACUUCUUACUUGAAUUAUUACUACACUUGUCCCAUGCUCUUAGCAUGCACACAAUGUUUACCUAUGGUUCUUACUUUGUGAAAUAGAUCAAAUGAACACAUUUCCAAUCAUACUCAUUUCACAACUCCAAAUCCUUUUUCAUAAGUGAAAGAAUAUCAAAUUCUUGCCACUUAUAGAAUAUGCUAGAUUCUAACAUUUUAUGCAAUGAUCCUUUCGUAAUGUCACUGCACCAAAGUCACAAAGACUAUUGCCAAUGAUAUUACAAAGUCCUCUAUCGGAGAUUGUUACAAGACAAUUCCUUAGAUAUGAUGUCUCUCACUCAAAGUACAUUCCUUUGAACAUCUUUUUGCAUAAAAGUUUCUAAUCUAGACAUAGAUUCUCAAUAUCCAACUCCCAAUAUGGAAACAUUUCCAUAUUUUCCAUAUGACAACUCAUUCUUAAUAGAAUCUUAUCUAUUCAUAAUAAUGUCGAUAUGGUCCAUCCAAUACUAUACUUCCAACUACUCACAAGCGACCAAUCCUCGGCGAACUUUGGAUUGUCCUUUGAUAGUUGUUUAAUUAUCUUAGUCAAAACCGAUUCUUGUCCUUUUUCCCUCUAAAUGCGCUAGACAUUUGGAAAAUUUUAGAAUGGUCAAAUAUUAUAGCAUUUGCAAUCGAUCCUAUACCCGAAGCGUAUGGGACACGAUGCAUAAUGUCUUACAUAAAGAUUUGAUACUUUAUCAAUCUUCUGCCAUAAUAUUUUAUGUGUCACAUUCUCAUAAUUCGAACUAUGAAGAGGUAUGCCAUAAUCAUAAUCGAAAUUUGAGAACACACUAUGUAUCCUUGACUUAAUUUAUUAACAUUCCACAACCUAAGCCUUUAGAUUUGAAAUGAAGCAUAAUAUUCUCUCCCUUAAUUAUAGCAAAACAACUAUUCAACCCUUACGACUUUGCAAAGUAUAACUCUUGUUUUCUAUAAUUAAUAUUGCUAACUUGCAAUACUUGCCUUAAUAAUCAUGCAAUCAUAACAUUUAUGCUCCCACUAUCACGAUGAUUAUUAUAAACAUAACACUUAUGCUCCCACUAGCUUUGACAUGUAUUCAGAAACAACUUAACUUUCAGAAAAACAAUGCCUAUUGAAUUUCUUUAAGUUCAUAUUUCUAAUACCCAAUGCUUUGAUAAUCUUUUAUCAAGGCUUCUUAAACUUAUACACCUUUGCCAUAGAUAGCUCAUAAAACAAUUCAGACUAAUUGCCAAAUCUCACAAUUCGAAUCAUGGAAAUGGAUACCGUAACCAUAAUCGAAUUCGAGAAUACAAUUUUACAAUCACUACCUUCUUAAAAUCUCUAUUAGUGAAAGCAUUUCUCACAGUCAUUUUCAUGAAGGGAGGGAAUCUUAUGACACUUAGAUUUUAAUGGUGUAUGUGUUCCUAUCCAUGUGAAUUUGUCAAAACCAAAGUUUACGACAAAUUCAAACUCAUAUGGACCGAACUUUCUUAAUCUUGAUUUCUUGCCUUAUGGUAGCACAACUGCCCAUCAUGUCUUCCAAGUAGUUAAGCAGCUCACCCUUUCUUAUCAAUGUACUUUUCAUUGAUCAAGGUCCUUGCCUUUUAUGCAUUCAAAUGAGAACUCAUAGAACCCACAUGCAUAAUUAACUUAUUUGGAACGACACAGAAACAAAAUAAUGUCAACACGUUAGGUUCUAAACCUCAACUCGUGUGCUAGUGAUGAUCGAUAAGGUUUAUUUUGAUUUGUUCUUGAAACCUUUCAAGACCAUUAAGACUCCCACUGACUCCUUGACAUAUAAGAUUCUCUUGUCAAUAAACAUUUCUUGACAAACAAAUAUUCAAGAGUUAGUGUAGUUUUUAUCAAAACACUUCAUAAAUUGGUCCUAGUUGGUCUUUGUCUUAUCCAAGACAUCACAACUUUCCACAUUUGAUGAAUGCUAUAAACCUUCUUAAUACUUUUCACUCAAUGUCACAAUCUUAACUCUAAGACUUGUUUUGGAACGAAGUAUGAUUGACUUCUUGAUUUAACCAUUUCUUCAAUUCUUGAUUCCUCUUCUUAGACAUACAAUUGUACUAAGACUCACUUAGAGGAUCAAUUGAGAUAUGGUUCUUAAUCAUUAAGACCUAUCAUAAAGCAUAAAAGCUACUCUCCCUUCUUCUUAGAAUGGAGAAACUUUUAUCUUUCUGCCUACUUGAUUCUUCUUAUUCGUUCUGCUAUUGAUUUAAACUUUUUCAAUCAAUUCAGAAUUACACUUAAUCUUGUAAGUAUAAUCAUAUUUACUAAACCUUUAGUAAAUCAUGACGAAUAUCUUUGUUACUCUUAUGGUGGACUUGAUCAACACGCAACUUUGUGUACUCGAUCUCCUAGUCCUUCACUUGACACUUUGUCAAUGAAUUAGUCUAAUUUCCAAAUAUGAAAUUUCUCAUUCAUCGUGCAACCAAGUUGCAUGAUUCCAAGUUUCUGUCCAAUUGAAACUUGGGCGAUGAGAAACUCUCCCUAUUUGGUAAACUCUCGACUUUCCAUAAAUAACAUAAUAAGAACCAAAUCCAUUAUUGCUAAUAAUAGAAACAUUCAAACAUCAAUUUUUCAUAUACGCCAUUGCAAGGAUAAAUAAAUAAUAUAAAAUCAAAAUUUAUUUUAUUGCGGAAAAAAUUUGUCCUUACAAUGCAAUUCAUUGAAAAACUAUGCUAAUACAUCUUUCUUAGCAAUCUAAUUCUAACUCUAAGUAGUAGCUCAAGAAUCUAAUCUUCGAGAAAUGCGAUCGAAAUCCAUUCCUUCACGGUUAGAUUCUGCUCACUUCUUCCCUUAAGCUUCCUUUCUUUUCUUCGAUCCUACAAAACAUCAAUUGUAAUCUUAUCACAUUAUGUAUUAAGAAUCUAGAAUAGAAGCUUAAAAGAGUUAGUUAAUGGAUUUUACCUAUAUUAGAGCCAUACGUUUCGACUCUCCCAUCUCUUAGAUCUCUUAGGUAAAUGGGGCAGCUUCGUCUCCAAUGCCCUUUCUCUUGGCAAUAAAAGCAAAUUGACUCUUUUGGAACAUGACAUGGAACUACUUCAGACAUUGCCUUUCUCUUAUGAUCAAACUUUUCGAUCAUAGCAUGUCUUUCGUUGCCAUUGUCUAUAUCCAUAGAGGUCUUGAAGGCAGAUUCACCAAUCAACUUUGCUUUUCUAUUGCGCCAAACCAUUGCUGAUUCAGCAGCAAUAAGCAUAUAGGUGAGAUCUAUAAGGGUCACGUCGCGGUUCAUCAUAUAGUACUCUCUUACGAACUCACUAUAUGAGUUAGGAAGUGACUGAAGAACCCAAUCAACAGCCAUUUCCUCACAGACAACGGAUCCCAACAUUCUUAACCUAUCAAUGUGUGACUUCAUCCCUAGGACGUGUGCACACACCGACUUUCCUUCUUUAUGUUUACUUGCCAAAAGGGCUUGAGUGAUCUUGAACUUUUCAAGCCUUUGAACUUGUGGGUUAGGGAGAAUAAUUGGAGGAGGAGGAGGAAGUGAAGCAUGAUUUCUUGUUCCUCGAUCGAAUCGUGGAAUAUCAUCUUCAUGUGGAAUGCUUGUUCCACGGGAUUUGGGAAGACCAUAGUUGUCGAACUUUGACAUCUACAAAACGGGAGAAAACGAAUUCAAGUUAGUUGAUUGAUUGAGUCCUUAGUAAAUCACCCAAAUGAGAUACUAAGGCUAGGACCCAACACAAUAUUCUACAACUCGGGAGAGGGAUGCCGUAACCCUAAUUGCAGAAUAUUUGAAGGUAAGUGAAUGACGAUUCACUAAUUUCCACCAUGAAAAACGAAAAAGAAAUUUAAGUUUUAAAUCUAUGAAAACUCCUAGAUCCUUUGAGAUUCAUUGAACUUUCAAUGGCAUGUUUAAAUCUCGAUAUGCCCCUCUUGUUUGUGACUGGGAUGCCGAGGAUCACAAAGCGGGUGUGAAUAACCAUGCAAACUUACAUGGUGCCCUCACAUGUUACAGUCACCUAUUCGAUGUGCCGGUAAACCACACACGCUCCACCGAACUAUGACAAACAUUGAGUCACCCUUUGCUACCUUUGCUUAGAACCAUUUAGUGUGCCGGUAAACCACACACGCUCCACUAACGUCUUCGCAAGGGCACAAAGUGUAAUUUCAUGGAAUUGCAUCAAUUCACUUUUGCCUAAGUAACUAAGAUUGGGAAUUUUAUGAAAACAUUUAGUUACUUUAAUAAUUCAUUAUACUUAUAAUGGAAGGUUUCGUCCUAUCCUACCCGUUCGGCUAACGACCCUCCACUAGUCAAGAGUGCGGUGGGUAAGAGUGGAUACCCAUUCAAUCGCCAUUUUAUAGGCAAUUUCCUUAAACACCCCUUAUAGACCAGCUUCGUGAAUGAGGCCUACUAACGGUAAGACUGACUUUUACUCAUACAUAUAUAUAAUGUUAGACUUUUAAUGUUAUAUAUAGUAUAGGGUGUAUUUUACACUUUUAAAAUACUAGGUGGUCAAAUUUAACAAUUAUACUUUUAAUUCAAUUAAAUUGUAAACCAAAACUUUUAUGGAUUUAUUAAACCUCUUUUAAUUAUACACCUUAAUUAAUUAAUAAAACCAUAAGGGUGUGAUUUGAACUUUUUCAAAACAAUACUAGGGUUUUAGAAUUUAACAUUCCUAAUUAAACUUUUAAUCAACUUUUAAAUUCCAAAACUUGAGGGCAAGUUUUGAAACAUUUCAAAACAUUAGGGUUUAGAAUUUAAAUAUACAUCAAAAUUAAACUAUUAAUCAAAAUUUAAAUUCCAAAACUUGAGGGCAAGUUUUGAAACCUUUUUCAAAACAUUAGGGUUUCAACUAUUUAAAUUUCAAAACAACAAAACUUUUGAGGUCAAAUUUAAACUAUAAAACCUAAAGGGGAAAAUAUGAAACAUUUCAUAACACAAGGAUCAAAUAACAAAUAAUCUAAAUUAACAUUUAAUCACAUAAUUAUCCAUAUUUGAUUUAUUUAAUGAUUUCUUGCAAAACAAUUUACCAAUUUAAUCAAAAUAAUUAAUCAAUUAUCACAUAAGGAAACAAAUAUUUUAUUAAUUGAUAAAUAUCUUCAAUUAGAUCAAGAAUAUAGUCAUAUAUAUCAAAAAAUCGGAUUUAUAUUGAUCUAAUAUGAUAAGGCAAGUAUCCUCAAGCAAAAACAGCAAGAAAUCCCGGUUUUCCCUCAUUCUGACCAGCCGACUCGUCGAGUCAGGCAUGGACUCGUCGAGUCAGCAUGAACUCGACGAGUUCAUCUAGAAACUCGGCGAGUUCAGCAAGCAGAACCACAAAAAACGAAUUUUUUCAACAUACAAGGCAUCAAUACAAUAGAAACCAGUCUAGGCUCUGAUACCACUGAUGGGUUUUAGUCAUAAGAACAUCCUAUGUGCUCAUACAAACCCUAAUGCUUGGAUCUAGGUUUCUCUAUUGUACAUGCAAGUUAUCCAAGACUAUAAACCCUAAUUCUAGCAUACAAGUAAUCAUAUUAACAUAAGAAUGGGUUUAAGAUAUUACCUUGAUUGUUAUGUAGCAAUAACAAUCCCAAAUCCUUCUUGUAUUGACUUUAGAAAGCUUAGAGUCACAAAUGUCACUCAUCUAAUGGUUCACAAACACCAAGAGCAAGAGGAUGAGGAGGAGAGAGGAUGGAGGCUGCCCAAAACCGUCUACAAACCCAAGAGAAGUCUUUUUUUUCACAUUUUUGGGUCAUAAGGGAUGUAUAUAUAGUUAGGCUAUUAGGGUUAUCUAACAAGGAAACCCUAAUUUGGAUGCUUAAGCCCUAAGCAACCCAUGGAUCCCUUUCCUUAAGGCCUUGGACGAUUUCCUUAUGGGUUUCCCCAUAGAAUUCGUCCACUCCUUAAUACAAGGCAAUCCAUGGCCCAAUUGCAAUUAUCUUAUAAUUACAAUUCCAGUCCCUUAAGUUUAAUUAAUCUCUUUUAGUCACAAAACUAAUUACCAAUUAAUUAUUGACUAAUAUUAAUUAAACAAUAUGAUUUCUUCUUUAAUAUAUUAUUCUCAUAAUACAUUAAUAAAUCAUAUUUAAUCCUUUCUCUCCAUAAUUCAUCCUAUCAAUUUGCUUUGGUGAAGGCAACCCAAAAGGAUCAUGCACCAUCGGGUCAAGUACAUACCAAAAUAGUUAUGGACUUAGACACUAAUCCAACACUUGCCUCAUACCUGGUCUCCCACGACCUACCAUUCCUCGAUUCCAAACACGUUGUGGCCCUCUCAUAGCCUUGCGAACAGACCUGCCUUGGCCUAAACCAUCUGAAGGAAUCCAUGAACAAGUGAAAGAUUUCCCGCAAUAUCAUCGUUGAACAUGUACAGGGACUGAUGAAUGCUACGGGCCACCCUGCAAUCUUACAACAUGUCACACCCCCAAACCAGAACGGCGGAAACGUUCGGGGGCGAAUGACGUCAUAUUCAGUAUCAUAACGAUUCAUAGUAAGGAAAGUACACACCACCAUAUAUAUAAAGGUUUCAAAAUGUUUACAUAAUUGUAUUUGUUACAUGUUCAAAAUAUAAAUACAUAAACAUAUUUAAAAAGAAAUAAUUAAAGCCAGAGCGUUAAUCCCCAAAAGUUGGUUUCCAAACCUGCUUAGCGGUUCCCUGAGAAUACAAGUUAUUUCAAAGAAAAAGUGUCAACAAUUAAUUUGGUGAGUUCAUAAGCGGUUUUGAGAAAAUGUAUACAAUUCCAAAGUUCGUGCGUUUUCUAAGAAAAACCCUUAUUUUCUUAUAAAAAGUAUGAAAUGCAUAUGAAUGUUCAUGUCGUAAAUUGUAAAUGGUUGUACCAGGAAAAUCUCUUAUUUUCAUAUUAAUUGAUUGUUUUGGAUACAGGAAAAUCCCUUAUUUUCUUAAAGUAACAUGCACUUUCUAAUGUCUAAGACUGAAAAUCGCAAGCAACUGACAUGCUUAAAAGGUUGAGGCAUAGUUUUAUAUAAUAAAGCUAUAAGAAGAUCGCACUCGUUAGAUGAAGAAUAGUUUUAAUAGCUACUCAUUCAUAAAAUCAGAAUACCAUAAUAAUUGUCUAUCCGGUGUGUUUUAUAACCAUACUAAACAUAAUAUGCAUAUGACGACGGUCUUCAGGCGUCGAAACGUUAUGAUAAAUUGUCACCCAAAGGAAUGUAGCUAACAGUCAGGGCGCGGGAUCAUGACUUCCCGUAUAGAUCUAUAUACAUUUGACACGCUCUCCAAACGGGAGACUCUGGUUAUAAUAAACAAGACUUUAGGUAGUACCUUUUAACAAAAGGGUAGCAUUGAAGAUGUAACCGUCUCACAGAUUCUCAACUAAGUCUGUAUUAAAAUAAUAGCUUUGUAUGAAAUGUUUAUCCUCUUUCACAAUGUUUGACAAAGCAUAAAUCAUAAGUUCUUUGAAUGCAUAAAAAUGGUUUAACAAGGAUGGCUACCCUGGAUACUAUGUAUUUUGUAUAAAUCUAAUGCAUGCAAAGUAUAACAAGAGUUUUCACGUUUUCACUCAGGAUCAACCGUGUGUUUACUUGUAUUCUCCCCCGAAAUGUAUUAAAAGUACAUUAUAAAGUAUUUGAACUUGUAUAAAAUGGGGUAUGAACUCAUUUGAUUGAAGUGGUUGUUUUGAAGUAGUCGAGAGAAGAAUCGAGCAGAACUUCGACUAGUGAGAGUUAAAUUCUCGGGAAUCUCGGGAGUGUAGAACUUCCUUCUGAUCUUGAGUAUGAAAACCGGGGUGUCGGGAUGGCUUCGAGUGGAAAAACGCAGAGCAAAAGUGCGGGAAAAGAGAAGAAUUGAACAAGAAACUCGGAACUCUAGCCUCCCUUUUAUAUGAGGCUGAACCGCCUCCGUACGCUGGGCGUACGCUCUUACGCGGGGCGUAGCGUAUGUCAGCGCUUACGUCAUCCUCCUGACGGACGAUGGGAUGUCUGCUGCCAAAGGGACUGCGCCCUUAUUACCUGGUAUGCUAGGCGUACCCCUUUACGCGGGGUGUAAAUCGAUUUUCAGAACUUCUAAAUUCCAUAACUCUCGCGUACGAGCUCCGUUUCUAGCAUUCUUUAUAUCCACGCGUAGGUGAGACUGUACUCUACAACUCUCAUUUAGACUCCGUCGGCUAGUUUUGACUUUAUUUUUAAUAAUACCUUUUUAGCAGGCUGAUACUGGAAAAGUCCGUUAAAAAUCCAUAACUUCUUCAUCCGGCGUCCGAUUUUAUCUGUCUUUUUACCGUUGUAUUCCUAUGGUCAGGGUCUUCAACUUUCGUUUAGGUUGUUUCUGUCAAAAAUCCGUCGAUCUCUAUUUCGAGUUUUUAGCUGUCUACUGCUACAUCCGAAACUUCGAAAAAUCAUAACUUCCCAAUACAAAGUUAGAUUUGGGCGUUCUUUUUAUGUAUGUUCACGGUUUAAUGAUAUCUACAAUUUUCAUCUAGAUACUUAAGGUUAAAAGGUAUUUUAUUAAAACUUCGCGUUUUAUGUUUAAUCGUAUUGACGGUUUUGUUGUGAAUCUUAGGUUGGUCAUAACUCCUUCGUUAUAACUGUUGGGUUUUGAGCAUUCUAACACUUCCUAAGUGUACAUGCAACCCUAAAUACCUUGGAUCUAUGUUUUCUCUAUUAUACAUGCAAAUAAGAACAUCCAAGGUAUUAUCCUAAUCUAGCAUACAAAAACUAUGAAUGUAACAAGAUAGAAUACAUACCUCUUGAUGUAGCUUGAUGUCUUCAAGCUUUAAGAGCUUAGCCCCAAUAGUGUGGAAGCCUCAAGUGGAAUCACAAAUCACCAAGACACCUUGGAAUACUUUAGAGAAUAUGAUUACUUGGUUCUCUCUAGUGAAAUUGGCUAGCCCUUCUUUAGUGUAUCCACACUAGUGCCAAUUUCACCAACCAAAGACAUCUUUAUAUAGUAUGGAGGAUUAGGGUUAAACCCUAAUACCCAUGACCUUUCAUUUCCUAGGAUCCAUGGGUUAAACACUCCAUGGACUAUCCAUGAAAGCUUAGCCCAACCUAAAUGAACUUGGCCCAUUCCAUAUAUAUAAGAGUCCAUAUUUAAUUAGUUCCUUUUGAUCACUUAAUUAAUUAUAAAUUAAUUCUUGAUCAAUACUAAUUAAAUAAUAUGAUUCCAUAUUAAUAUAUUAGAACUUAUAAUAUAUUAAUAUUAAUCAUAAACAUACUAUUCUCAAAAGAUUAUCCAUAUAAAUUGUGUCGGUGAAGUGCAACCCAAAUGGACCAUGCCGGGUCGGGUCAAGUACAUACCAAAUAUAGUUAUGGACUUAGACAUUAAUCCAACAGUCUCCCACUUGGAUAAGUCUAAAACUAUUAUUGCGUAUGACUUCAAACCUAACUGGCAAUCGUAGCUCUUAAAGCUGCUGUCGAACUCUGAUCUUGUCAACGAACUUGUCCAUUAGAUAAGGGAUCAUAUAUUCCUCCAUUCUAGAUAUCAUAUGGACUGAGACAUGGAUUAUAAUCAUUCUCUCUGUCCAUUUGUUGUUUCCCGAUUUCCGAUUUAUGACGACUGACUAAUUGAACAAAUCAAAUCAGUCCUGGCCCGGCCGAGCACUUCCAUUUGUCAUCAUCAAAUCAUCGAGGGGCCCACAGAUAUCGCUUUUAUCCCGAAGGUAAAAGGAAUGGAUAAACUUCGACUCAUAUGGCUUGUUCUACUACUUGUUGAAUCAUACACAAAGGCACGUUUUAUAGCACCGAGUUACCAAAUGCGUUUUCGUGCAAUCAAUGUACAACCAACUCAUAGUAACAACUCAUAUCUCUAGGUUUGAAGAAUAUAAGAUAUUAUCGUCUCAUGAUCACUCGUGAUAAAAUCCAUGAAGUGAUUCCAAUGAGCGCGGGUUGAAUCCAAUACUCAGAACUUAUGAGCACUCAUGAGUGUUGUAGCCCUUUGUCCAACACCUUAGACCUCUACAAGCCAACCCAUGACAGUCUUAAUUCAUAUCUACUUCCAACAUAUGACCGACUGUGGAUGGUUUGAAUAACUUAGUCAUUCCGGAAGAAUAACCUAGUUUAUUCGGGAAGUCAAAACAUGCAAAGUGAAACACAAUAAUAAUUGAAUCCAAUAUGGUAUCAAAUCUUUGAACAUAAAUAAAACACCUUUUAUUUAUCACCAUAUGAUUACACAUUAUUCAUUGUAUACUGUUUCAGCUAUCAACUUUAUUCUUGAAUUUAAAACAAUAGUUGUCCCAUGCUCCAAGCAUGUACACUAUGUUUUCUUAAACACUAGUCAUGCCACACACCAAGUAUGCAUACUAUGUUUGUCUAUGAUCUUUACUUUGUGAACUAGAUCAAUUGAACAUAACUUCAAUGAUUCUCUUUUCACACUCCCAAAUCCUUACUGCAAAUGCAAGAAUUCCAAAUUCAUGCCAUUUACUGAAAUCUGUUAGAUUCUAAACUUAUAUGCAUUGAUCCUCUUGUAAUGAUUAUGCACAAAGUCAGAAAGACUUGACAACAAUCAUUACAGAGUAUUCCAAAGGAGAUCAGCUCCUUGGAAACAUCCUUCUUGCAUUAAGUUUCCUAAUCUUAAACAGAUUGAAAAUUCUAACUUUGAAACAUUUCCAGAUUCCAUUUUGACUAUCACUUCUGAACAAGAGUUGCCUCCUUACAGAUUAUGUCAAUAUGGUCCUUCCAGAAUUAUCACUAUACUUCCAACUGUCCUUGAGCAACCAAUCUUUGGUAAACCUUAGAUUGUCCUCGACAAUUGUUUAAUCCUUUUAGUCAUAUCCAGUUCUAAACCUUUUCCCUUCUUAAUGCCCCAGGCAUUUGGAAAAUUUUAGAACGGAUGAAUAUAGCACAUGUAAUCGAUCCUAUAUCCGAAGCAUAUGGGACACGAUUCAUGAUGUCUUACAUAAAGACUAAACCAGUCUUUUGCUAUAAUAUUUCCAUUUCAAUUUGCCAAGUUCUCAUAAUUCAGAUUAUGAAAAGGGAUGCCGUAAUCAUAAUCGAAUUUUAGAACGCAAAUAAUGGACCCAUAUACAGAAUUUCCUUAUGUUGAGCCAUUCCAACAUGAAAUUCAUAUAUAUCCUUGACUAAAUGAUUAAAACCUCACGAUCUAAGCUUAUAGAUUUGAGAUGAAGUAUAAUUUCCUCUCCCUUAAUUAUAGCAAAACAACUUUUUCCCAAUUGAAACUUUUGUUUUCUAUAAUUAACAUUGCUAACUUGCAAUACUUAUCAUAAUUAUCAUGCUCCCACUAACAUGAUGAUUAUUAGCAUAACACUUAUGCUCCCACUAGCUUUGACAUGUACUCAGAAAUCAGCUGGACUUCUAGAAAUCAAUACUUCAUUGACUUUCUUACCAAAGUUCAGAUUUCUGAUGCUAGAUUGUUUUGAUAAAACUUUAUCAAAAUCAUACACCUUCCCUUAGAUAGCACACUUGUGUAUCUAAACAAUUAUGAAGAGGGAUGCCGUAAUCAUAAUGUUUAGACCUUUUUGCCACUUCUCACAAGUCCAAAUUAGUGUGCCGGUUAACCACACGCGCUCCACUAACGACUUUGAGAAUGCAAAUAUCACAAUUGCUAUCUAGCUAAAAUCUACUUAGUGAAAGUGUUUCCUCACCAUCAUUUUCAUGAAUCGGAGAGAAACCUUAUGACACUUAGAUUUAAUGGUGUAUGUGUUCUUAUCCAUGUGAAUUGUCAAAACCAUAGUCACAAGACAAGGAUAAUGACAAAUCCAAACUCAUAUGGACUGAACUCAAUCUUAAUUUCUUGCCACCUGGCAGCUCAAGGGCCUACCAUUGCUUCCAAGUUGUUGUGCAACAAAUUGAGAACUCUAAGAACUCAUAUGCAAAACCAACUUUAACUGGAAUGGGCACAGAAUAUGUCAACACGAUAGGUUAUGAACCUCAAGUUGUGUGCUAGUGAAGAACUUUAGGUUUUAUUCUUGAUUAGUUCUUGAGACUUUCAAGACUUUUAAGACUCCCACUGACCUCUUGACCUAUAAGACUCCCUUGUCAAAUAUCCAAGAGAUAGUGUGGAUUCUAAUCAAGACAAACACUUCACACAAUUGGCCUAAGUUGGUCUUUGUUUUAUCCAAAACAUCACAACUUACCAAUUUCAAAUGUACAAGAGUAGAAAACUUUUACUCUUACAUUUGACAAGUGUUUUAAACCUUCUUUAAGACAUGUCACUCAAGUUACAAUCUUGGAGUAUGACUCUAAGACUUGUAUUGGAACGAAGUAUGACUCAUCUUCUUGAUUUAACCAUUUCAACAAUUCAAGUUCCUCUUCUUAGUCAUAAGAAUGCACUAAGAUUUCCUUAGAGAACUAAUUUUGAUAUGGUUUCUUAAUCAUUAAGAUGAUCACAAAACUGAUACUAAAGUACUCUCCCAUCUUUUCAGAUUUGAGAAACUUUUAUCCUUCUGCCUAAUUUGAUUCUUCUUAUUCGCUCUGCCAUACAUUGGAACCUUUUCCAAUGUCUCAGAGUUACACUUAAGCUUGUAAGUAUAAUCAUAUUUACUGAGCUUUAGUAAACUAUGACGAAUAGUCUUAUCAAUCUUUUGUGGUGGACUUAAUCAGUGCACAAGAAUGUGUACUCGAUCCCUUAGUCCUUUACUUGACUCACACAUCCAUGUGGCCGAGUAAUUAGUCUUAAUUUUCCAAAACUUGAAAGUUCUCAUUCAUCAUGCUAUACAACUUGCAUGAUUCCAAGUUCCGGUCCAAUUGAAACUUGGGUGAUGAGAAUCUUUCCUUAUUUGGUAAAUCUAGACAUUACCACAAAUGAAAGAAUCAAUUUCAUAUUUCCACUCUUGCUAUUAAUGGAAUCAUAUAAGCAACAAUUUUUCCUCAAAUGCCAUUGUAAGGAUAUUUUAAAAUAAAUAAAAUCAAAAAUUUUCUUUUAUUUUAAAACUUUGCGGAAAAACUUAUCCUUACAAUCCAUAUGAAAACUUGUUGUUAUCUAUUCCUAAGCAAUAUCUCAUAACUCCUAAGAAGUUGCUCAAGAAUCCGAUCUUCAAACUAUGCGAUAGAAAUCCAUCUACGCCAUCAGAUUCAGCAUAUUCUUUCUUUAAGUUUCUUCACUUUUCUUUGAUUCUUAAAACAUCACCAUGUGACCCAGUCACAUCAUGUAUCAGGAAUCUCAGAAUAGAAACUUAACAGAGUUAGAUAGUGGACUUUACCUGAAGUAGAGUCAAACUUAUUGACUUUAACAUCCUUAGGUAAAUUUGGCAGCUUCGCAACCAAUGCCCCUUCCUUUGGCAAUAUAAACAUAUGGACCCUUUGAUAAUGGUACACGAGACUAUCACAGACUUAGCUUUUCUCUUUACCAUUUGGUCAACCGAGUUGACUAUGGCCGAUCCCUUUCCAUUGGGAAGAGAAUGCUUUACUGGAUAUCCAAUGUCAUCAUUGUCAAUGUCCAUAAAGUUUUAGGAAGUUGAUCUUAGCAAAUAGAUAAGAUCAUUAAGGGUCUUGUCAUAGUCUGUUUCAUAGGUGUCCCAAAGGAACUCACUAUGUGACUUAGAAAGUGAUUGAACCACCAACUUUCUCAAGACUUUGACACCCAACUCUCCCGGCUUGUCAAUAUGUGACUACAUCUCCAAGAUGUGAUCACACCUAGACCUUGCCUUGCCAAUAGGGCUUGAGUGACCUUAAACUUUUCAAGAACUUGUGGGUUAGGGAGAAUAAUUGGAGGAGGAGAAAGAAGUAUGAUAUCCAUGGGACAUCAUCUUCAUUAGGAAACCUUGUUUCAAGAGAUUUGGGAAGAUCAUAGGUGUCUAAACCAGACAUCUUUUGGGAGAUAUUCAAGAUAGUUGAUUUAAAGUCCUUAAUAUGACACCCAAUAUGAAAUAUUAAGGCUAGGACCCAACAAACUAUUUUAUAACUUAGAAGAGGUAUGCCGUAAUCCAAGCUAUAAAAUAUUUGAAGGUAGGUGAAUGACGAUUCACCAAUUUCCACCAAGAUAAACGAAAUGUAUUAUUAGGUUUUAAUUGGUUUUGAAACUCCUAGAUCUUUGAGAUUCAUUGAACUGUUCAAAGGCAUGUUUCAAUCUCGAGUGUGCCCUUCAGGUUUUGUGACUGGGAUGCCGAGGAUCACAAAACAAGGUGUGAAGUAACCAUGCAAAUCACUUGGUACCCUUAAUAAAUUACCCCUCAAUCGAUGUGCCGGUUAACCACACACGCUCCAUCGAUACUAUGAUAAAUAUUAAGUCACCCUUUACCUACCUUGUUAAGUCCAAGUUAGUGUGCCGGUUAACCACACACGCUCCACUAACGACUUAGACAAAGUGUAAAGUGUAAUUUCAUGGAUUAGCACCUUAUUCACAUUUUUCCUAAGUAACUAAGAUUGGGUAUUAUUAAGAGUUUAGUUACUUAGUAUUAUCAUUAAUACUUUUAAUGAAGGGAGAAUUCUAGUCCUGUCAAACCCGUUCGGCUAACGACCCUCCACCAGUCAAGCAAGCGGUGGGUGAGAGUGGACACCCAUUAAGUUGCCAUUUUAUAGGCAACAACCUUAUACCCACCUUAUAGACCGGCUUCGUGAAUGAGGCGUACUAGCGGUAAGACUGACUUUACUCUUAUACAUAUAUAUAUUAUUAACUUAUAAUAUUAUAAAGUAUAAGGGUUGAAUUUUAACUUUUAAAAUUCUAAGGGCUAACUUGGAAUUAAAGUAUUCAUAAGUGAAAACUUUACAAAUUCCAAAACUUGAGGGCAAGUUUUGAAACUAUUCAAAACUAAUUAAUUCCAUAACUUAUGUGUUUAAAGUAGUUUUAAUCCAAAAACUCUUCAAGUUCCAUAACUUGAGGACAAGUUAUGGAAGACUUUAAACUAAUAAAAGAAUUAACUUUUCUUUAUUUUAUAACUUAUGGAAUUAAUUAAGGUUACACUUUUUUUUUUUUUAUUUUAUUUUAUUAAAUGAAGAGACUCUUGGUCCUCCAUAACUUGAGGACAAGUUAUGGAGUCAUAAAACCAUUUAAUUAGAACUAGACUCUUCAUUUUUGUAACCUUUGCCAAUUUUUAUGAGUUUUAUGAUUCUUAAAUGUGACUUUUCAUAUAACUUGAGGACAAGUUACAAAAACACAUUUUAGAAUCAAUUCUUAGAUUAAUUUGGAUUAAAACCAACUAUCACAUAAUUUUAUUCAUUAAUCUAAAUUCACUCAUAAAACAAGGUAACACAAAAAACUUUUGGUGAUCCAUAACUUAUUCUUAAGUUAUGGAAUCCUUUAAAACAUUAACACCAAAUUUUGUAACUCCAAAAAAACUUUGAAUCAAUUUUUUUUUUAAAACCUUUUCAUAUCCAUAACUUAUGGAGGUUUCAAAAAAUAAAACUCUUUAGAUCAAA